UCCCGGUCUCCACCACCGGGAUUACUGAAGAGGCACACCAUCAUUGCCUGAAGUGCGGCGGGUUCUUCCCCUCCAAGCCAUGGCAGACAAUUCGGCGUAGAUCGUCCUCAACCAUGUUUUCAUGGCGGGCGAAAUCGCGUCGG
rfam:Aureimonas altamirensis strain ON-56566 NODE_1, whole genome shotgun sequence.